CCUACGGGAGGCAGCAGUGAGGAAUAUUGGUCAAUGGGCGAGAGCCUGAACCAGCCAAGUAGCGUGAGGGAUGACGGCUCUAUGGGUUGUAAACCUCUUUUAUAAGGGAAUAAAACGAGGCACGUGUGCCUUUUUGCAUGUACUUUAUGAAUAAGGAUCGGCUAACUCCGUGCCAGCAGCCGCGGUAAUACGGAGGUUCCGAGCGUUUUCCGGAUUUAUUGGGUUUAAAGGGAGCGUAGUGGGGUUGUUAAGUCAGUUGGGACAGUUUGCGGCUCAACCGUAAAAUUGCAAUUGAUACUGGCAGUCUUGAGUACAGUUGAGGUAAGCGGAAUGCGUGGUGUAGCGGUGAAAUGCUUAGAUAUCACGAAGAACCCCGAUUGCGAAGGCAGCCUACUAAACUGUGACUGACACUGAUGCUCGAAAGCGUGGGGAUCAAACAGGAUUAGAUACCCGAGUAGUC
rnacentral:rRNA from 1 species